ACACUCCUGCGGGAGGCAGCAGUGGGGAAUUUUACGCAAUGGGGGAAACCCUGACGUAGCGACACCGCGUGAGCGAAGAAGCCCUUUGGGGUGUAAAGCUCUGUCAGCUGGAACGAAAACAAUGACGGUACCAGCAGAGGAAGCAUCGGCUAACUACGUGCCAGCAGCCGCGGUAAGACGUAGGAUGCGAGCGUUGUCCGGAUUUAUUGGGCGUAAAGAGUUCGUAGGUGGUUUGUUAAGUUUGGUGUUAAAGAUCGGGGCUCAACCCUGGGACUGCACUGAAUACUGGCAGACUCGAGUGUGGUAGAGGCUAGUGGAAUUCCCAGUGUAGCGGUGAAAUGCGUAGAUAUUGGGAAGAACACCGGUGGCGUAGGCGACUAGCUGGGCCAUAACUGACGCUGAGGAACGAAAGCCAGGGGAGCGAAUGGGAUUAGAUACCCGGGUAGUCCC
rnacentral:rRNA from 1 species